rnacentral:misc_RNA from 1 species
AACUUUUGGCAAUGGAUCUCUUGGUUCUGGCAUCGAUGAAGAACGCAGCGAAAUGCGAUAAGGAGUGUGAAUUGCAGAAUUCAGUGAAUCAUCGAAUCUUUGAACGCACAUUGCGCCCUUUGGUAUUCCUUAGGGCAUGCCUGUUCGAGCGUCAUUUAAACCUUCAAGCUCAGCUUGGUGUUGGGUGUCUGUCCCGCCUCGGCGCGGACUCGCCUUAAAUUCAUUGGCGGCCGGUACAUUGGCUUCGAGCGCAGCAGAAACGCGAACUCGGAGACUUUGGAUCAGCUCCCAGAAGCUAUUUUCUAUUUUUGACCUCGGAUCAGGUAGGGAUACCCGCUGAACUUAAGCAUAUCAAUAAGCGGAGGC